rnacentral:rRNA from 1 species
UACGGGGGGGGCAAGCGUUGUUCGGAAUUACUGGGCGUAAAGGGCUCGUAGGUGGCCCCAUAAGUCAGACGUGAAAUCCCUCGGCUCAACCGAGGAACUGCGUCUGAGACUGCGGGGCUUGAAUCCGGGAGAGGGAUGCGGAAUUCCCGGUGUAGCGGUGAAAUGCGCAGAUAUCGGGAGGAACACCGGUGGCGAAGGCGGUUCUCUGGGCCUGACCUGACGCUGAGGAGCGAAAGCGUGGGGAGCGAACAGG